CAAUUCUUAAGCAAGUAAUUCAGGAACAAUUAGAUCUUGGGCAUACUGAACCCUCCACCAAGCCCACACAACAUGCCUAUCUUUGUAAUCCCCAAGAAAAAUGGGAAACAUAGAUUACUUCAAGAUUUGAGGCCAAUUAACAAACAUAUGAAAAAGAUAAGUUCAUUUCAAUCAGGUAUCCCUCCAGCCAGUAUCCUGAGCAACUAUCUUAUUGUUGCUAUCAACCUCAAGGAUUGCUUCUUUUCCAUCCCUAUAGCACACCAGGACAGACCCUUUUUCGCUUUUAC
rnacentral:sRNA from 1 species